rfam:Kaistia sp. SCN 65-12 ABS35_C0627, whole genome shotgun sequence.
GGCAUAUUUUGCUCAGGCGGAGCUCGACCGCCACGGCAAAUGGUGAUGUCGUUCAUCGACACGUACCGCGAGGAACUGGGUAUCGAGCCGAUCUGCCGCGAACUGGCGGUCGCCC